rnacentral:rRNA from 1 species
AGUGGCGAACGGGUGAGUAAUAUAUCGGAACGUGCCCAGUCGUGGGGGAUAACGUAGCGAAAGUUACGCUAAUACCGCAUACGAUCUACGGAUGAAAGCGGGGGACCGUAAGGCCUCGCGCGAUUGGAGCGGCCGAUAUCAGAUUAGGUAGUUGGUGGGGUAAAGGCUCACCAAGCCAACGAUCUGUAGCUGGUCUGAGAGGACGACCAGCCACACUGGAACUGAGACACGGUCCAGACUCCUACGGGAGGCAGCAGUGGGGAAUUUUGGACAAUGGACGCAAGUCUGAUCCAGCCAUUCCGCGUGCAGGAUGAAGGCCCUCGGGUUGUAAACUGCUUUUGUACGGAACGAAAAGGUCUCUAUUAAUACUAGGGGCUCAUGACGGUACCGUAAGAAUAAGCACCGGCUAACUACGUGCCAGCAGCCGCGGUAAUACGUAGGGUGCAAGCGUUAAUCGGAAUUACUGGGCGUAAAGCGUGCGCAGGCGGUUAUGUAAGACAGAGGUGAAAUCCCCGGGCUCAACCUGGGAACUGCCUUUGUGACUGCACAGCUAGAGUACGGUAGAGGGGGAUGGAAUUCCGCGUGUAGCAGUGAAAUGCGUAGAUAUGCGGAGGAACACCGAUGGCGAAGGCAAUCCCCUGGACCUGUACUGACGCUCAUGCACGAAAGCGUGGGGAGCAAACAGGAUUAGAUACCCUGG